CACUCCGGUGGCCUAGUGGUUAGAGCAUCCACCUUGAAUGCGAGAGAUUGUGGGUUCGAUCCUCAGUCGAGUCA